GUUUGAUCCUGGCUCAGAUUGAAUCGCUGGCGGGAUGCUUUACACAUGCAAGUCGAACGGCAGCACGGACUUCGGUCUGGUGGCGAGUGGCGAACGGGUGAGUAAUACCGGAACGUGCCUAGUAGCGGGGAUAACUACGCGAAAGGAAUUAAUACUGACACAUUACCCUUCGGGGAAAGCGGGGAUCUUCGGGCCUCGCACUAUUAGAGCGGCCGAUAUCGGAUUAGCUAGUUGUGGUAACGGCUCACUACAAGGCGAUGACCGUAGCUGGUUUGAGAGGACGACCAGCCACACUGGGAUCACACGCCCAGACUCCGGCCGGAGGCAGUGGGAAAUUUUUGGACAAUGGGGAACCCUGAUCCAGCCAUCCCGCGUGUGCGAUGAAGGCCUUUCGGGUUAAAGCACCCUUUGCAGGAAGAAACGGCACGGGAUAAUACCCCGUGCAACUGACGGUACCUUGCAGAAUAAGCACCGGCUAACUACGUGCCAGCAGCCGCGGUAAUACGUAGGGUGCAAGCGUUAAUCGGAAUACUGGGCGUAAAGCGUGCGCAGGAAGUCUGGAAAGAAAGAUGUGAAAUCCCAGAGCUUAACUUUGGAACUGCAUUUUUAACUACCGAGCUAGAGUGUGUCAGAGGGAGGUGGAAUUCGCGCGUAGCAGUGAAAUGCGUAGAUAUGCGGAGGAACACCGAUGGCGAAGGCAGCUCUCCUGGGAUAACACUGACGCUCAUGCACGAAAGCGUGGGGAGCAAAUGAUUAGAUAUUCUAGUCCACGCCCAACGAUGUCAACGAAUGUUAGGCCUUCGGGCUCUGUGGAAGGCAGCUAUCAGUGUGAAGUUGACCGCCUGGGGGUAUUAUCGCAAGAUUAAAACUCAAAGGAAUUGACGGGGACCUGCACGUUAGUGGAUGAUGUGGAUUAAUUGAUGCAACGCGAAACUUACCUACCCUUGACAUGUCUGAAUCCUGAAGAUUGUAGAGGUUUCGCAAGAACCGGAACACAGGUGCUUAGUACGGCUGUCGUCAGCUCAGGCCGUAGGCGUUGGUUAAGUCUCAGAACGAGCAACCCUAAUAGUUGCUGCUGUGUUGCACUGGGACGAGACUGCCGGUGACAAACCGGAGGAAGGUAGACACGUCGUCCAUGGCCUAAGUGGCAGGUCCAAUAUCAACAGCACAAUGGUCGGGACAGAGGGUCGCCAACCCGCGAGGGGGAGCCAAUCCCAGAGGCAAACCCGAUCGUAGUCCGGAUCGCAGUCUGCAACUCGACUGCGUGAAGUCGGAAUCGCUAGCACCGCGGAUCAGCAUGGCCGUGGUGAAUACGCUGCCCGGUCUUGUACACACCGCCCGUCACACCAUGGGAGUGGGUUUUACCAGAAGUAGUUAGCCUAAUCGUAAGGAGGGCGAUUACCACGGUAGGAUUCAUGACUGGGGUGAAGUCGUAACAAGGUAG
rnacentral:rRNA from 1 species